rnacentral:rRNA from 1 species
AGCAGCCGCGGUAAUUCUAGCUUCAAUAUCUUAUAUUAAAGUUGUUGCAGUUAAAAAGCUCGUAGUUGAAUUUCGGGAUCAGUGGGUCGGUCGUGCCACUGGUAUGUACUAGCCCUACUGGUUCCUCCUUCUUGAGGAACUGUGAUGCCAUUAAUUUGGUGUUGCAGGGAAACAGGACUGUUACUUUGAAAAAAUUAGAGUGUUUAAAGUAGGCAAUCGCUUGAAUACAUUAGUAUGGAAUAAUGAAAUAGGACGUUCGACCCUAUUUUGUUAGUUUUUAGGAUUGACGUAAUGAUUAAUAGGGAUAGUUGGG